CAGAAGAGAGGAAGGUUUGUGAGGAAAACAAAGAAUGGCGCCUUGCUGCACACUGACCUAAAAAUAAUCCCUUUAUUAGUAUCAAUUAGCACAACUGCUGAAGCAAUGGAAAUAUAAUUAAAAACCUCCUUUAGUGGCAGGCCUUAUUUAAUUACAUUUUGCAAACUAUGGUCCCCAAAUACAUCUCACAUGACAUACGAUAUUGGAGCUCUUUUGAGCACCUAGUUCAACUGCUGCAAGCAUCAUGGAAGAUUAUUGGAGCAUUUGAUAUACCUAAUGACUGAGACAUAGCCCAGCAAAAGAGAUUCUUUGAUCUCCUAGUAUUAAAUGAGAGGAGUCAUAACUCAUGUAUCUCUCCUUUCCUUUUAUUUGGUUGUUAUUUGAAAACCUUUGGAUGUAGCAGAACUGCAGAUUGAUUAAGAAUGCCUUUUGAAAUCAUGUUUGAAAGUCCUGACUCCUGAGUCAAUGGUCUAUCUAGAGAGAUGAACUGUGAAGAAUUGGAGUUAUUUUGUUUCAAAGAAACAUCUUGGCCACGUUCAGUCUCUUUCAUCGCUCUAACUAAUCCCUUUGCUCCUCAUUUUUUCCUUCCUCGGUUCCUUUCUUUAGGUUUUUUAAAUUAUCAUAUUGUUAGAAGACUUAAAUCGAAUUAGGGAAUUUAUUUUAGUAUAAGGAGUCCAGAUCCAAUGGGAAUUGGCUACCUCGUGCUUCAUAUUUUUCUCGUCCUCGGUGGCUUUGGAAAUUGAGUAUCUUUUCUAUAUAGAUUUUCCUUAUUCUUGUAGGACAAUUAUCCAUGGAGUCAAUGUAUUUAUAGUGCCUAAAGAACACAUAUUCAAUUGAUCGAUUUAAUAAAAUUGACCUAAACUCUAAAUGUUUUUGGAGGUUUCAAACUGUCUUAAGUAAAUAUCCCAUCUUUUACCUCUUUCUCAUUUUCUGUUUCGUCUAUUUCUGCUCAAAAUACAAUUGAUAAGGGCUUUGGGUGUGGUCAUCUUGACAUCAAGUGUCCUUAGUGCAUGACUGUCACGUGCAAUCAAAAUGAAAAGUUUGAAUCAUAAACCUCAAUUUGUAUGCCAUGGAUACAGGAGUUCUUGUUAACAAGCCAACUAUCAAACCAUAGUUGCAAAGGAGGGCUGAGUUUGAAGCAAACUGGACAGGGAGAUUGCUCAAAAGCUUGAUCAGGUUAACAAGUUCCUCUAUCAUCUCUUCAAGCCACAAUAACUUAAGACUUCAAGCAACUUCAGAAGGACUGACAGGAACCAGCUUCAACAUUAGUUAUUAUUGCUAAAGAGCCUAUCAAACACAUAAUGGAGGAUAUGCAAGACCAAUGCCCUUAUGCAAAGGAUGCUAAACGUAAAAGGUUGUCAUGAUCAAAAUCUUGGCUUUUGCCCACACAAAGGUGGAGUUUCCUCAAAGGCAAGAUGGUGCUUCAUCAAGAUGGAUAACUGCAACCAGAAAGGUUUUCUUGUUUUCAUCAAAUUAUUAUUAUUAAGAAAAUGAAUGCAUCAAGUGGUAUAACAGGGUUUCAGUCUUUUCAUGUGAUGCCUCAACGAAAAGAAUUUGUCUGAAGAAUCCUUUUCUAUUUGGUCCCAUUGUUGUUAAAAUCUUACAAUUCAUGAUCUAGAUCUUACAAUCUGGACCAAAAUGCCCCUAGAUGAUCUGAUCCCAUCCUUGGAUCAGGAUCAAUGUAGGAACACAAGAUUUAGAUCCAUAUGAUGUACUAUAUGAUCCUCCUUGGAUCAGAGGAUCUAACUUGAUUAUGCUAAUUAAAAUCAUGGAUGGAUCAGUUUUCAGUAAUUAACAUGACUUUGGGGCUCUCAAAUUAUUUGCCAACAAUAACUCUUGGGUAGUAAAAUUAGUAAAUCUAUUAUUGAAGCUCAUAGAGUUGAUAAAAAAAAAGAAGAAUUUUUUUGUAUUUUUACAGCCACACGUUAAAGUCUUGUCCUUGCUUUUUCUAAAACAUUCUAUGUAAAACUAUUGUUAAAUUGAUUGAUAAUAUAUAAAUUUCUUGAAUAACCAAACAAAGUAUUGUUCCAUAAGACAUGCUAUGCGCCUAUAUUGGUCGAAACUAGAAUUUUUGGAAUAUAAGGCUUUCUAUUCACCAUUCAUCUAUUUUACACUUGACUCAUAUCUCAUUUCCUUAUAUUUAAAAAACAAAUCUGAAAGAAAUCGAAAAACACUUAUGAGUUAUGAUCCCAUCCAAUCUAACCCCCUUUAGGGUUUAUGACUAAAUCCCAAUCUUGAUAACAACAUUUGGGCCCUUCAGUCAUGAGUGUUAAAGGUGAGCAUGUAAAUAUCAGUCAAAACGUAUAUAAAGGCACUUAGAUAUCUGUUGUGAGUUUUAUUUUCAUGAAGAGUGAUCCUCAAACAUUACUUUGCAAGCAACAGAACACAAUCGAAAUUCAUAUUUCGUAUUUUUGCUGCAGUUGAUUCCAGAUAUCAGCAAUGGCAUUUUGAGGUUCCCUACGGUGUCCGAUGUCACUAUUUCUGACCAACUCUCCUUGGAUAAGGGAACUAAAUUACUUAAUUAAGUAUUUCAAAGCAUCAGUGCUGCUUCAGACUCAAUAUCUGGAUUUUGAAUAUUCUCUAAGGCACCAGAACAUGUCCGAAAAACAUACAACAUUCUCUUACACUUCAAGUGGCAAUAAACCAUGUAAAACAACUGCAGCAUUAUGAUGAAGAAUAUGCAGUUGUUUCAGGUCAUCAACUAGGCAAAAGAUAAUGCAUGAACCAAUCAAAUUAAAGAAAGUUGCAGUACUGAAUGGAUGCUGUCAUUUAAUUGAUAUCUUAGUUUCAUAAGAGCAUGUACACAGUGAUCCGUAUUUCUGUUCACAACAUAUACAGCAAAACAUGGAUAAUUCUAAAGCAUACUAGGAACAAAUUUUUUACAUUCUAAAAUAAAAAUAUGGCCACAACAAGAGCACUCCAAAUAAAAGAAAUAAAUCAUUAAUACUCUACGAAUCAUGGAAAGUUGGAAACAACAGUUUCAAUCAAGAUGCUCCUAAUGUCCUUAGUUAUUUAGUAAAAGCAAGAAGAAGAACGGUAAGAGAUAUCUGCUAAAGACCAAAAACAGAUCAGUGAAAGAGAAGUACAUCAGAUAAGCAUGUAGCAGUUGGAACAUGACGAUGAACAAUGUCCGCAGCCACAGAGACACCAGGUGCAGCCUGAAUAGAAUAUUAUGAAUAUUAGAUAGUAAACAAGAGUUAAAUUUACAUUAAAAAAAACUGAAAGAUAAGCUAAGAAACAAACCUUCACCAUUGUAAGGGUGUAACCAACCCCGUAUUUAUGCUUUAAGUAAAGGGAGCUGCCAAGAAAAAGAAAUUAUACAACUAAGAAGGUAGUUAAAGGCACAAACCCAAAAAAAUGUUGUGUAGAAUAUAAGGAGCUUGGUAAUUACUAUGUAUUAAAAGUUCUAAAUGUUAUUGCUUGCACUACCUCUUGAAAGUAAGAUUUGACCAAGACCCUCAUUCACAUAAGAUGGUACACCCACCAAAUUACAGAAUAAAGACAUUAACUACAUUCAACACAGAUAAUAGUAAGUUGGAAGGACACAACCAAGACAAAGAUACACCAUGGAAAGCAGUAUCACUGGAUAACUCAAUAUAGGCUCUAUAUGGUGGGAAGGCAAAACUAUGGGAGAGUUGAGGGAAUUAGACCUUUCAUGCUGAAUGGAUCAGAAUGUUGAGAAAUAAAGAAGUGGACAGAUACAUGGUAAGUAAAAUAUGAUAAGGAUGCUAAGGAGAAUAUGUAGUUCAGAUACUAAAGUUAAAAUUAGAGUCCAAUGGAUAAGUAAACUGGGUUAAGAAUAAAAUUUUGGGAUGUGUAUUACUAUGAUGGUCUGGUCAUAUACAAUGGAGGAAGCAAUCAUUGGUGCAUACUGCAUAGGAUGACACAUCAUCGACAAAACAAACCGGAGUAACUCAAAGAUUAUUUAGAUCGUGGUGGUCCACAACAAUCUGAAGAUGCUUUACCUACAAUAGGAUCAGGCUCUCGGUAUAAAUGAAUGGAAGAAGAGGAGCCUCAGUCUAAACCCCAAGAAACAAGGUCACAGCAUACUAAGUGUGCAGUCAUGCUAGUAACGUUGUCUAUUACAGAGUACAUUAAGUAUGUCUUAGUGAGUUCACUUUUUCUUUACCUUAACUAUUAUAAAUUCAUUAAUCUCUCUUUGUUUUCAAGCAUAAAGAGCUGAAUGAUAUAGACAGCGGAUGUAGAUAAUUAGGAUGCACUAUAUCGUAAUAACUCGGUGUACAACCAAGAACAUCCUCAUCAAAACCAUCCAUUAGUUCUUCUUCCUUAGCCUUGCACGAAAUCUCCGGCAAAACAAUCUGCUUCUGACCAUCUCCAUUUUAAUUUUUUUCCAAGAUUCUAGGUAUCUACCAAACUGGUUCAAUACAGUACCUCAAUGCUAUCUUCUUUAAAGGAAAAGCUUAGUAGUUCUUGACAAAGUUUGUUGACAGUAACUUGGUACAUAAACUUUCAGUAAGAAUUUGAGAACCCAUUGACAGAUUCAAAAUUACAAACAAUUCUUUUGAUGUUUUUCAACCAUCAAAACAAAAGGAAUCAUGAUCAAAUUGAACCUAGAUGCAACUGUUACGUGUCUAUUUGAGAAUUAACAUAUAUAUAUAAAAAAUUCCCCAUAAGUCAAUAUUCCAUGAAUUUAUUUACCGAAAGGCCAAGCAAAAAUCAAUUAUAUUAUAAUUAGAAUAUUAGAUGAAGAGCAUAUCUUAUUGCAAUUAUAUAAAUAUAUAUGCUGAUUAAACAUCAUAAGUUUGAACAGGUGAGACCUUCCACAGCAUCUCAAUUGACCAUUUGCCAUGAUAGCUAUUCGAUCACCUAGAACGUCGGCUUCAUCCAUGGAAUGUGUUGUCAAUAAUAUUAUCCUUCCCUUCUUGAUCUUCUUUAUCAACUGCCAUGUUGAACGCAUUGAGUAUGGAUCCAUACCACUGGUUGGUUCAUCAAGGAUGAUAACCUGUGAAUUGAGAACAAAUUUUACAUUUAUGAAGUAACAUGAAGAACAAUAUGGAAAGCAAUUAUUUUAUCUUCACCGCACCUUGCUAUUUCCAAUAAGAGCAAUACCAAGGGAUAAUUUCCUCUUCAUUCCCCCAGAAAGUGCACCUACAGUUGUGUUAACUUUGUCUGCCAAACCCACCUGAUCUCAAUCCAAUUAGUGAAGAAAAUAUAUAGGUUUGUUUCAUAAAAUUUCAUAAUGUCAUGGUUGAUUAAUUAUAACCAUUAUUCUUUUUCCACAAUACCAAUGCAUGGAAAUUGAGUAUUGUUUGUUAAGCAUGAGUACAUUAGUUGUUUCCCGGUUGGUAACCUGAAAAGGCAAUGGAGUAAAGAAAUGAAAAGGAUGGAAAAUUAUGAAGUACUGACUUAUACCUUCAGUUCAUGUUAUGAUGCUCGUUUCUUGACUUAUUUAUAUUUGGACAUGUAUGACAAUGACUAUACUCUUGAUAAUCAACAAGCACAUAACUACUAACAGCUAACAGUCUUUUUUCCUUAUCCCGACAACACUCUCGAAGUAGCGAGAACCUGGACCGGAGAGAGAUGCAUGGUAGGAGGCAACUCCCUUGCUGGAGAUAUUAGCCAUCUAAAGACUUUAAGAAUCAUAACAACCAAUAAUGUCUUAAUCUCUCUAAACUGAAGUUUGUCAUAAACAGUGUUUGGCUGAUGCUUGAAAAGAAGGAUUUGGAAAUUUUUAUUGGAAUUAGUAGACCCAAGGAAAGGACAUCCAGAAAUUGGGCAUUCAAACUAAAGAGAUGUAGAAUCAACUAUAUAUUAGCUCUAAUUGUUUUCACAAAUCACUGUUUGACUUUGAACAGUGGAUCAUUUAACAAACAAUUGAAGCAAGUACACCAGGAAAUCAAGCAUUUGCCGAGAUACAAGUUAGUUUAUUGUAAAAAACAUAUAGAAUCAUCAGAGCAGUCAGUUUUAGCAUGUGCAGAACUAGAAGAUGGACUGACAGGGAUCAAGAAUAAAAAAAAAAUGUAUACAAAAGCAUCUCCCUNNNNNNNNNNNNNNNNNNNNNNNNNNNNNNNNNNNNNNNNNNNNNNNNNNNNNNNNNNNNNNNNNNNNNNNNNNNNNNNNNNNNNNNNNNNNNNNNNNNNNNNNNNNNNNNNNNNNNNNNNNNNNNNNNNNNNNNNNNNNNNNNNNNNNNNNNNNNNNNNNNNNNNNNNNNNNNNNNNNNNNNNNNNNNNNNNNNNNNNNNNNNNNNNNNNNNNNNNNNNNNNNNNNNNNNNNNNNNNNNNNNNNNNNNNNNNNNNNNNNNNNNNNNNNNNNNNNNNNNNNNNNNNNNNNNNNNNNNNNNNNNNNNNNNNNNNNNNNNNNNNNNNNNNNNNNNNNNNNNNNNNNNNNNUCUCAAUCUUGAUAACAAUGUUUGGGCCCUUCAAUCAUGAGUGUUAAAGGUGAGCUUGCAAAUAUCAGUCACAACUAUUUGGCGUGUUAAAGUUAUUUUAAGCAGUUUGCAGAUAGUGUUCACAAUUGAUUAGAAAAAACCACUAGUCAAAACGUUUAUAAAGGGGUGUCACUUAGAUAUUUAUUAUGAACAAGGUCCGCUGUAUCGGUACCGGUUGGCGUACCGGUAGCGGCUCGGACCGGUACGUACCGAUCCCGUAUCGGUACGUACCGGUCCCGUAUCGGUACGUACCGGUCCCGUAUCGGUCCGUACCGGUCCCGUACCGGUACGGCAGUUGUACCGGCCAGUUUUUCAAUGACAAGCUCCCAGUACCGGAUCCCACGCUGAUCCGGUACCAGUGCCUAUCCGGACCGGUUCGUAUCGGCCCGUGGCCGGUACGGCAUACCCUGGUUGUGAGUUUUAUUUUCAUGAAGAGUGAUCCUCAAACAUUACUUUGCAAACAACAGAAUACAAUCGAAAUUCAUAUUUCAUAUUUUUGCUGCAGUUGAUUCCAGAUAUCAGCAGUGGCAUUUUGAGGUUCCCUACGGUGUCCGCUGUCACUAUUUCUGACCAACUCUCCUUGAAAAAGAGAACUGAAUUACUUAAUUAACUAUUUUAAAGUAUCAGUGCAGCUUCAGACUCAAUAUUUGGAUUUUGAAUAUCCUCUAAAGCUCCAGAGCAUGUCCGAAAAACAUACAACAUUCUGUUACACUUCAAGUGGCAAUAAACCAUGCAAAACAACUAUAGCAUUAUGAUAAAGAAUAUGCAGUUGUUUCAAGUCAUCAACUAGGCAAAAGAUAACGCAUGAACUAGUCAAAUUAGAGAAAGUUGUAGUACUGCAUGGAUGCUGUCAUUUAAUUGAUAUUUUAGUUUCAUAAGAGCAUGUACAUAGUGAUCCGUAUUUCUGUUCACAACACAUACAGUGAAACAUGGAUAAUUCUAAAGCAUACUAGGAACAAAUUUUUUACAUUCUAAAAUAAAUAUGUGGCCACAACAAGAGCAAUCCAAAUAAAAGAAAUAAAUCAUUGAUACUCUAUGAAUCAUGGAAAGUUGGAAACAACAGUUUCAAUCAAGAUGCUCCUAAUGUCCAUAGUUAUUUCGUAAAAGCAAGAAGAAGAUCGGCAAGAGAUAUCUGCUAAAGACCAAAAACAGAUCAGUGAAAGAGAAGUACAUCAGAUAAGCAUGUAGCAGUUGGAACAUGACGAUGAACAAUGUCCGCAGCCACAGAGACACCAUGUGCAGCCUAAAUAGAAUAUUAUGAAUAUUAGAUAGUAAACAAGAGUUAAAUUUACAUUAAAAAACUGAAAGAUAAGCUAAGAAACAAACCUUUACCAUUGUAAGGGUGUAACCAACCCCGUAUUUAUGCUUUAAGUAAAGGGAGCUGCCAAGAAAAAGAAAUUAUACAGCUAAGAAGGUAGUUAAAGGCACAAACUCAAAAAAAUGUUGUGUAGAAUAUAAGGAGCUUGGUAAUUGCUAUGUAUUAAAAUUUCUGAAUGUUAUUGCUUGCAUUACCUCUUGAAAGCAAGAUUUGACCUAGAUCCUUGUUCACAUAAGGUGGUACACCCACCAAAUUACGAAUAAAGACAUUAACUACAUUCAACACACGGAUAAGAGUAAGUUGGAAGGACACAACCAAGAUAAAGAUACACCAUGGAAAUCAGUAUCACUGGAUAACUCAAUAUAGGCUCUAUAUGGUGGGAAGGCAAAACUAUGGGACAGUUGAGGGAAUUAGACCUUUCAUGCUGAAUGGAUCACAAUGUUGAGAAAUAAAGAAGUGGACAAUACAUGGUAAGUAAAAUAUGAUAAGGAUGCUAAGGAGAAGAUGUAGUUCAGAUACUAAAGUUAAAAUUAGAGUCCAAUGGAUAAGUUAAAGUAAAUUGGGUUAAGAAUAAGAUUUUGGGAUGUGUAUUACUAUGAUGGUCUGGUCAUAUACAAUGGAGGAAGCAAACAUUGGUGCAUACUGCAUAGGAUGACACAUCAUCGACAAAACAAACAGGAGUAACUCAAAGACUACUUAGAUCGUGGUGGUCCACAACAAUGUGAAGAUGCUUUGCCUACAAUAGGAUCAGGCUCUCAGUAUAAAUGAAUGGAAGAAGAGGAACCUCAGUCUAAACCCCAAGAAACAAGGUCCCAGCAUACUAAGUGUGCAGUCAUGCUAGUAACUUUGUGCAGGCAAACCAGAAAAAUAACAGAAUAUCUAUUAUAGAGUACAUUAAGUAUGUCUUAGUGAGUUCACUUUUUCUUUAGCCUAACUAUUCUAUAUCCAUUAAUCUCUCUUUGAUCUCAAGCAUAAAGAGGUGAAUGAAUAGACAGCGGAUGUAGAUAAUUAGGAUGCACUAUAUUGUAAUAACUCAGGGUACAACCAAGAACAUCCUCAUCAAAGCCAUCCAUUAGUUCUUCUUCCUUAGCCUUGCACAAAAUCUCCAGCAAAACCAUCUGCUUCUGACCAUCUCCAUUUUAAUUUUUUUCCAAGAUUCUAGGUAUCUACCAAACUGGUUGAAUAUAAUACCUCAACGCUAUCUUCUUUAAAGGAAAAGCUUAGUAGUUCUUGAUAAAGUUGUUGACAGUAACUUACUACAUAAUCUUUCAGUAAGAAUUUGAGUACCCAUUGACAGAUACAAAAUUACAAAUAUCUGGCAGAGAUAUAGUAAGUUCCAUAUAAUGUGGAUCAGCAAUCUUUUGAGGUUUUUCAACUAUCAAAACAAAAGGAAUCAUGAUGAAAUUGAACCUAGAUGCAACUGUCAGAUGUCUAUUUGAGAAUAAAAACAUAUAUAAAAAAACUUCCCCAU
rnacentral:lncRNA from 1 species